rnacentral:misc_RNA from 1 species
CCGAGUUUACAACUCCCAAACCCCUGUGAACAUACCACUCGUUGCCUCGGCGGAUCAGCCCGCUCCCGGUAAAACGGGACGGCCCGCCAGAGGACCCCUAAACUCUGUUUCUAUAUGUAACUUCUGAGUAAAACCAUAAAUAAAUCA